rnacentral:rRNA from 1 species
GAUGAACGCUGGCGGCGUGCCUAAUACAUGCAAGUCGAACGCACAGCGGAAGGUGCUUGCACCUUUCAAGUGAGUGGCGAACGGGUGAGUAACACGUGGACAACCUGCCUCAAGGCUGGGGAUAACAUUUGGAAACAGAUGCUAAUACCGAAUAAAACUCAGUGUCGCAUGACACAAAGUUAAAAGGCGCUUUGGCGUCACCUAGAGAUGGAUCCGCGGUGCAUUAGUUAGUUGGUGGGGUAAAGGCCUACCAAGACAAUGAUGCAUAGCCGAGUUGAGAGACUGAUCGGCCACAUUGGGACUGAGACACGGCCCAAACUCCUACGGGAGGCUGCAGUAGGGAAUCGUCCACAAUGGGCGAAAGCCUGAUGGAGCAACGCCGCGUGUGUGAUGAAGGCUUUCGGGUCGUAAAGCACUGUUGUAUGGGAAGAACAGCUAGAAUAGGGAAUGAUUUUAGUUUGACGGUACCAUACCAGAAAGGGACGGCUAAAUACGUGCCAGCCGCCGCAGUAA